UAUUGUAUUAUACAGAGUUCUCCUGUACUCUGUUCUCUGGUACAGUCGGACAUGGCGGAGGAGGCGAUUCUACGUGAAAAAGUAAGUUGAAAAUAUAUAUAUAUGUAGGAUAAAAAUUUGUCGUAUGACGCAUCAUUUCCGAGAAAAUCGAGACCGAAAAUUUGUGAGUACAAUAAACUUGGCUAAUGCUUUUAGUCAGAUUUUUAAAUGGCAUAAAAAUAUGACAUUAGAAUAGAACAACCCGUACGUGAUUCCAUAUAAUAUUAGAUUAUUUGCAUAAUAAAACCACGAAAAAUAUGAACAAUAUGUAAUGAAUUCAAUAAAUUUCAUUCUUAGCUGAUCGUACAACACUUUGCCAAGAUUUUUGUCCUUCAACGGGCACUUUCAGACAAAUCUAAUGCGAGCACCCGUUUCAGGUAACAUAUAGCAAAAGCAAAAAGAAAUAGCGAGAUCAUUUUAUAGGUGGGAAGAAAAAGAAUCGGUCGAUUGGCAACUUGCUAGCUCAGGAUUCGUGGAUAACCGGUCAUUCGCGUCGUUUAUCAAAAGAAACAUAUUUUUCAGUUUGAUGUUUACGUCAGAUAGGCGGAGUGAAAAAAAACGAGAUUCCAAUGGUUCCACCGAUGAAUAGAAUAAUACUGUUUCUUAUAAACUGUUUAAAAUAUUGACAAUUUUUUUCAUUAAACAUAAUACCUAAAACUUUCUUGUAUAUAACUGUGAUUCUGCUUAUUAAGUUUAUUAGAGUGCUGAUGACAGACAAAUAUGUGCUUCUUAAAUUAGGCAGCAUGUUUACUAAGUUACCACGUCUAAUAGGUCAAUGCCAAAUUUUGAGAUGUAAUACUUGUAUGUAAGGUCAAAACGCCGAGAGGCAAGAUCUCUUAUUAUAUAAUGUAAUGUAUAUAACAUACAAAUCUCGUAUUAUGUAAUAUAAUGUAACAAACUUAAUAUAACAUUAAUAAAAAACUUAUUCAUUGGUUUAAUAAGACUUGGAUAACAUCGAAGCCAAACUAGCUUAACGUAGAACACGAACUGGCACAUACACGUAAUAGCUAAGCCGGUGAACGGAAAGCAAGGUGAUUCCCACAGUAGUUCGUGUGUGUAUCUUCGCUCUGUUGACCAUACCGCUCCGAAAUCGAGCUAUUUACCGGGCUUUUUCGAAUCGUUCUACCUCCAAGAGCGAGGAAGAAAAAGCUGGAAAGGGAGAAAGGAAGAGAGAGAAGGGGAAGUCCAUUAAUCAUGAAACAGGAACACGAGAGAUAGGAUAGCGUCACGGAAAUGAGGCAAAAAUGCCGUAGAAGAGCGGCGCAUAAUUCGCCGGCAAACUCCCGUCCGGAAAAUACUAUCGAACAAGGAAACGAUUUGUAGCCCGAUCAUAGAUUAUAGCGACGAUACAAGAAAAACAAUAGUUUGAACUUUAAAGAGACUCGGAGGUUUUAAGAAAAGCUCGACGCUAUAGUUUUCUUGAGCAAGAAACAGCGUGCACGUGAGAUACAGACAUUUAUUUUGAAGACAAUGGUAGAGGCUACAUAAAGAAUAAAGCCUGUAAUAAAGGAAAAAUGAUGGCAUUAUUGUUAAAAAAGGAGAAAAAUUAUAAACACCGUGAUAGAAGGCAAAAAAUUCUGCAGUUAUUAAAAUCCACUGAGAGGACAAAAAUAAUAAAACACAUCGAAUGUUAGAUACAUAUAUUUAAAUGAGAAAGGAGAAAAAACAGAGAUAAUUAUUAUGCGAAUAUUUACGCUAAAAAAAAACAUAAAUCAUAUUCGCGUAUACGUCAAGACAUUUAAUUUUUAGUUUAGUUUAAAAAAAUAGA